rnacentral:rRNA from 1 species
GAAUUAGAGUUUGAUCCUGGCUCAGAUUGAACGCUGGCGGCAGGCCUAACACAUGCAAGUCGAGCGGUAGCACAGAGAGCUUGCUCUCGGGUGACGAGCGGCGGACGGGUGAGUAAUGUCUGGGAAACUGCCUGAUGGAGGGGGAUAACUACUGGAAACGGUAGCUAAUACCGCAUAACGUCGCAAGACCAAAGUGGGGGACCUUCGGGCUCAUGCCAUCAGAUGUGCCCAGAUGGGAUUAGCUGGUAGGUGGGGUAACGGCUCACCUAGGCGACGAUCCCUAGCUGGUCUGAGAGGAUGACCAGCCACACUGGAACUGAGACACGGUCCAGACUCCUACGGGAGGCAGCAAGUGGGGAAUAUUGCACAAUGGGCGCAAGCCUGAUGCAGCCAUGCCGCGUGUGUGAAGAAGGCCUUCGGUUGUAAAGCACUUUCAGCGGGGAGGAAGGCGGUGAGGUUAAUAACCUCAUCGAUUGACGUUACCCGCAGAAGAAGCACCGGCUAACUCCGUGCCAGCAGCCGCGGUAAUACGGAGGGUGCAAGCGUUAAUCGGAAUUACUGGGCGUAAAGCGCACGCAGGCGGUCUGUCAAGUCGGAUGUGAAAUCCCCGGGCUCAACCUGGGAACUGCAUUCGAAACUGGCAGGCUAGAGUCUUGUAGAGGGGGGUAGAAUUCCAGGUGUAGCGGUGAAAUGCGUAGAGAUCUGGAGGAAUACCGGUGGCGAAGGCGGCCCCCUGGACAAAGACUGACGCUCAGGUGCGAAAGCGUGGGGAGCAAACAGGAUUAGAUACCCUGGUAGUCCACGCUGUAAACGAUGUCGAUUUGGAGGUUGUGCCCUUGAGGCGUGGCUUCCGGAGCUAACGCGUUAAAUCGACCGCCUGGGGAGUUACGGCCGCAAGGUUAAAACUCAAUGAAUUGACGGGGGCCCGCACAAGCGGUGGAGCAUGUGGUUUAAUUCGAUGCAACGCGAAGAACCUUACCUGGUCUUGACAUCCACAGAACUUAGCAGAGAUGCUUUGGGUGCCUUCGGGAACUGUGAGACAGGUGCUGCUGGCUGUCGUCAGCUCGUGUUGUGAAAUGUUGGGUUAAGUCCCGCAACGAGCGCAACCCUUAUCCUUUGUUGCCAGCGGUCCGGCCGGGAACUCAAAGGAGACUGCCAGUGAUAAACUGGAGGAAGGUGGGGAUGACGUCAAGUCAUCAUGGCCCUUACGACCAGGGCUACACACGUGCUACAAUGGCAUAUACAAAGAGAAGCGACCUCGCGAGAGCAAGCGGACCUCAUAAAGUAUGUCGUAGUCCGGAUUGGAGUCUGCAACUCGACUCCAUGAAGUCGGAAUCGCUAGUAAUCGUAGAUCAGAAUGCUACGGUGAAUACGUUCCCGGGCCUUGUACACACCGCCCGUCACACCAUGGGAGUGGGUUGCAAAAGAAGUAGGUAGCUUAACCUUCGGGAGGGCGCUUACCACUUUGUGAUUCAUGACUGGGGUGAAGUCGUAAACAAGGUAACCCGUUU